UACCGGGGGUGCAAACGUUGCUCGGAAUUAUUGGGCGUAAAGCGCGCGUAGGCGGCUACCUAAGUCGGAUGUGAAAGCCCCUGGCUUAACUGGGGAAGUGCACCCGAAACUGGGUAGCUAGAGUGCAAAAGAGGGUCGCGGAAUUCCCGGUGUAGAGGUGAAAUGCGUAGAUAUCAGGAGGAACACCGGUGGCGAAGGCGCUCAUCUGGCCCAAUACUGACGCUGAGGCGCGAAAGCUAGGGGAGCAAACGGG
rnacentral:rRNA from 1 species